rnacentral:rRNA from 1 species
AGCAGCCGCGGUAAUUCCAGCUCCAAUAGCGUAUAUUAAAGUUGUUGCAGUUAAAAAGCUCGUAGUUGAAUUUCGGGGUCAGUAGGUUGGUCAUGCCUUCGGUAUGUACUGGUCUCACUGAUUCCUCCCUCUUGAAGAACUGUAAUGUCAUUAAUUUGGUGUUGCGGGGAAACAGGAUUGUUACUUUGAAAAAAUUAGAGUGUUUAAAGCAGGCUCACGCUUGAAUACAUUAGCAUGGAAUAAUGAAAUAGGACGUUCGAUCCUAUUUUGUUGGUUUCUAGGAUUGACGUAAUGAUUAAUAGGGAUAGUUGGGGGCAUUAGUAUUCAAUUGUCAGAGGUGAAAUUCUUGGAUUUAUUGAAGACUAACUACUGCGAAAGCAUUUGCCAAGGAUGUUUUCAUUAAUCAAGAACGAAAGUUAGGGGAUCGAAGACGAUCAGAUACCGUCGUAG